rnacentral:rRNA from 1 species
UACGGGGGGGGUAAGCGUUGUUCGGAAUUACUGGGCGUAAAGGGCUCGUAGGCGGCCAACUAAGUCGGAUGUGAAAUCCCCAAGCUUAACUUGGGAACUGCAUCCGAUACUGGUGUGGCUAGAGUCCGGUAGGGGAGCGUGGAAUUCCUGGUGUAGCGGUGAAAUGCGCAGAUAUCAGGAGGAACACCAGCGGCGAAGGCGGCGCUCUGGGCCGGUACUGACGCUGAGGAGCGAAAGCGUGGGGAUCAAACAGG